rnacentral:piRNA from 1 species
UACUUGAAUGAAAUUAUGUUAUGGUGGUUGA